AAGUCGUAACAAGGUUUCCGUAGGUGAACCUGCGGAAGGAUCAUUAACACGUAUCCAUGGCACGCCUAUCCGUUAGAAAGUGGCAAUCCCUGGUAAAUCAUCGCCGAACAGUUUUGAUUCAGGGACUUCUGCGUGGGUAGGACAACUGCGCGAGCAAGUGGCCUGGCAUCCCUCUGCUUGUUAGUGUCUGAAAGUGUCACUAGCUCUGUACGGGUGGCGCAAUCACGAUCGCUAGAGGCCAACACGGCCGGCGACCGGGUCAAUGGGCCCUCGGCCCCCUAAUCACCUUUGCAUGAAAACGGGCCUGCGCUUAAUUGUGCGGCCACCAAACUCGAACAACUGUUAACAAUGGAUAUCUUGGUUCUC
rnacentral:misc_RNA from 1 species